GGCAGCGUUGUGUAGUGGUUUGAGUGCCAGACUAGGACUCUGGAAGACCAGGUUUCAAAUCCCUACUCAGGCA